rnacentral:misc_RNA from 1 species
AUAGCAUGACAAACAGCCAAUUGGCAAUAAGACAAAGUAGCACCUGAUUUGCAUAUCAGAUCUUUCAUAAGGGCAUGAAAUUGAUGCACAUAUUCAAAUUUCAAAAUUAGUAACUUCACUAUAAAGAGUUAGACUUAAGUAUUUUAACCAAUACCAAUUUUGUAAAAUCACAACAUAUGUAACUGAGUGGCUAGCUCCAUAAGGUAAAAUGAUUUAUACCAGGCACCUUCCAAG